rnacentral:rRNA from 1 species
CCUACGUGAGGCAGCAGUGGGGCAUAUUGCGCAAUGGGCGAAAGCCUGACGCAGCGACGCCGCGUGAGGGAUGAAGGUCUUCGGAUCGUAAACCUCUGUCAGCAGGGAAGCACGGUCACUGUGCUAAUCAGCAGUGAAUUGACGGUACCUGCAAAGGAAGCACCGGCUAACUCCGUGCCAGCAGCCGCGGUAAUACGGAGGGUGCGAGCGUUAAUCGGAAUUACUGGGCGUAAAGCGCUCGUAGGCGGUAUGUCAAGUCAAGGGUGAAAUCCCCGCGCUGAACGUGGGAACUGCCUUUGAAACUGGCAAACUGGAGUGUGUGAGAGGAUAGUGGAAUUCCAGGUGUAGGAGUGAAAUCCGUAGAUAUCUGGAGGAACAUCAGUGGCGAAGGCGACUAUCUGGCACAUAACUGACGCUGAGGAGCGAAAGCGUGGGUAGCAAACAGGAUUAGAUACCCUAGUAGUC